rnacentral:rRNA from 1 species
UACGGAGGAUCCGAGCGUUAUCCGGAUUUAUUGGGUUUAAAGGGUGCGUAGGCGGAAUGUCAAGUCAGCGGUAAAAAUUCGGGGCUCAACCCCGUCGUGCCGUUGAAACUGAUGUUCUUGAGUGGGCGAGAAGUAUGCGGAAUGCGCAGUGUAGCGGUGAAAUGCUUAGAUAUUGCGCAGAACUCCGAUUGCGAAGGCAGCAUACCGGCGGCGAUCUGACGCUGAGGCACGAAAGCGUGGGGAGCAAACAGG